rnacentral:rRNA from 1 species
AGGGAAUAUUGCGCAAUGGACGGAAGUCUGACGCAGCGACGCCGCGUGAGCGAUGAAGGCCUUCGGGUCGUAAAGCUCUGUCCUUGGGGAAGAAGGUCUUCGGACUUGACGGUACCCAAGAAGAAAGCCCCGGCUAACUACGUGCCAGCAGCCGCGGUAAUACGUAGGGGGCGAGCGUUGUCCGGAAUUACUGGGCGUAAAGGGUGCGUAGGCGGCCCUUUAAGUCAGAUGUGAAAGCCCGCGGCUUAACCGCGGAACUGCAUUUGAAACUGGAGGGCUUGAGUGUCGGAGAGGGUAGUGGAAUUCCCAGUGUAGCGGUGAAAUGCGUAGAUAUUGGGAGGAACACCAGUGGCGAAGGCGACUACCUGGACGAUAACUGACGCUGAGGCACGAAAGCUAGGGGAGCAAAC